UCCCAGGGCCAAGAGUAGAUGGAGCUUGUGUACUUUGCAUGCAAUAAUAAACCCCAAUAUCCUCAGCCUCCACCCUGCUGAUUUUCAGUGUGAAAUCUGUCCCUGAGCCACUGCCACUGAACCUGUCUGGGACUCCAGAGGCCCGGUUGGAAACCAAAUAGAUCAGGAGGUGUGGAGGCUGGCCUGGCUUCUGCAGGUACCAAUCCAAAUAGGUGAUUUCA